GACGAAGGAUGCAAGCGUUAUCCGGAUUCAUUGGGCUUAAAGGGAGCGUAGGUGGCCUUAUAAGUCAGUGGUGAAAUCUCUCGGCUUAACUGAGAAAUUGCCAUUGAUACUGUAGGGCUUGAGUACAGUUGCUGUGGGCGGAAUAUGACAUGUAGUGGUGAAAUACAUAGAGAUGUCAUAGAACACCGAUUGCGAAGGCAGCUCACAAAACUGUAACUGACACUGAGGCUCGAAAGUGCGGGGAUCAAACAGG
rnacentral:rRNA from 1 species